UAAAAGUCGUAACAAGGUUUUGCUAAGCAACAGUCUUUCUGUAGCAGAGCUUAACGGAGACCUUGCACCCGAGAGGGGGGAGGCGACUAUAAACAAGUCCCAGUGCAAGUCAGCGCCGCUGGCAACACAAUCGAAUUGCGGGGACGCUUUAAAGCUCAGUGGUACCAACCCUCUGGAUGCCGGAGGGGGCGGGCAACGCCCGAGGUCAGAACCCACCGGGAUGUACAAUAAGCAAUCCGCAGCGGUCCGUUUGGACCGUCCACAGACUAAGUGGUUGUGGGGAGCCCCCAGCUCCUUAAGAUAUAGUCGGGCCCGGUGAGUAGUCACCGGGGGUUCUGCGUCCGUAGGUGAACCUGCGGAAGGAUCAUUACAAGUGAGGCUACCGAACGUUGGAAACAGCGGUUAGGAGCUUACACCCACCCGUGUUUACAUACUAUUGUUGCUUUGGCGGGCCGUGGCCUCCACUGCGGGCUCUGCUCGUGUGUGCCCGCCAGAGAACCAAACUCUGAAUGUUAGUGAUGUCUGAGUACUAUCUAAUAGUUAAAACUUUCAACAACGGAUCUCUUGGUUCUGGCAUCGAUGAAGAACGCAGCGAAAUGCGAUAAGUAAUGUGAAUUGCAGAAUUCAGUGAAUCAUCGAAUCUUUGAACGCACAUUGCGCCCUGUGGUAUUCCGCAGGGCAUGCCUGUUCGAGCGUCAUUUAACCACUCACGCCUAGCGUGGUAUUGGGGCACGCGGUCUCCGCGGCCCUCAAAAUUAGUGGCGGCGCCGGUGGGCUCUAAGCGUAGUACAUACUCCCGCUAUAGAGUUCCCCCCGGUGGCUCGCCAGAACCCCCAAUUUUUUACAGGUUGACCUCGGAUCAGGUAGGGAUACCCGCU
rnacentral:rRNA from 1 species